CGCCAGACUCCUACGGGAGGCAGCAGUGGGGAAUAUUGCACAAUGGGGGAAACCCUGAUGCAGCGACGCCGCGUGAGCGAUGAAGUAUUUCGGUAUGUAAAGCUCUAUCAGCAGGGAAGAAAAUGACGGUACCUGACUAAGAAGCCCCGGCUAACUACGUGCCAGCAGCCGCGGUAAUACGUAGGGGGCAAGCGUUAUCCGGAUUUACUGGGUGUAAAGGGAGCGUAGACGGCAUGGCAAGUCAGAUGUGAAAGCCCGGGGCUCAACCCCGGGACUGCAUUUGAAACUGUCAGGCUGGAGUGCAGGAGAGGUAAGUGGAAUUCCUAGUGUAGCGGUGAAAUGCGUAGAUAUUAGGAGGAACACCAGUGGCGAAGGCGGCUUACUGGACUGUAACUGACGUUGAGGCUCGAAAGCGUGGGGAGCAAACAGGAUUAGAUACCCCGGUA
rnacentral:rRNA from 1 species